UGCAUCUGAAGCCUGACGAGGAUGAGAACCUCCGGGGGCAAGAGGUUCGACUCGAGCGCAGCGAGAGAACGUUGCGUCAGCAACGGCCCGCAGGGCGAGCCACGCAGUGGCGAGUCAUCCUCUAUCGCCAGCA
rnacentral:sRNA from 5 species